rnacentral:rRNA from 1 species
UACGGGGGGGGGCAAGCGUUGUUCGGAAUUACUGGGCGUAAAGGGCUCGUAGGCGGCCAACUAAGUCAGACGUGAAAUCCCUCGGCUUAACCGGGGAACUGCGUCUGAUACUGGAUGGCUUGAGUUCGGGAGAGGGAUGCGGAAUUCCAGGUGUAGCGGUGAAAUGCGUAGAUAUCUGGAGGAACACCGGUGGCGAAGGCGGGUCUCUGGCAAUGUUCUGACGCUGAGGAGCGAAAGUGUGGGGAGCGAACAGG